rnacentral:rRNA from 1 species
AUUGAACGCUGGCGGCAUGCCUUACACAUGCAAGUCGAACGGUAACAGGUCUUCGGAUGCUGACGAGUGGCGAACGGGUGCGUAAUACAUCGGAACGUGCCCGAUCGUGGGGGAUAACGCAGCGAAAGCUGUGCUAAUACCGCAUACGAUCUACGGAUGAAAGCGGGGGAUCGCAAGACCUCGCGCGGCCGGAGCGGCCGAUGGCAGAUUAGGUAGUUGGUGGGAUAAAAGCUUACCAAGCCGACGAUCUGUAGCUGGUCUGAGAGGACGACCAGCCACACUGGGACUGAGACACGGCCCAGACUCCUACGGGAGGCAGCAGUGGGGAAUUUUGGACAAUGGGCGCAAGCCUGAUCCAGCCAUGCCGCGUGCAGGAUGAAGGCCUUCGGGUUGUAAACUGCUUUUGUACGGAACGAAAAAGCUCUCUCUAAUACAGGGGGUGAAUGACGGUACCGUAAGAAUAAGCACCGGCUAACUACGUG